GACAGAGUGGCUAAGAGUACGGGCCUGGAAGUCAGGGGGUCAUGGGUUCGAAUCCCAUCUCUGCCA
rnacentral:tRNA from 1 species